AAAUUGAAGAGUUUGAUCAUGGCUCAGAUUGAACGCUGGCGGCAGGCCUAACACAUGCAAGUCGAGCGGUAACACAGAGAGCUUGCUCUCGGGUGACGAGCGGCGGACGGGUGAGUAAUGUCUGGGAAACUGCCUGAUGGAGGGGGAUAACUACUGGAAACGGUAGCUAAUACCGCAUAACGUCGCAAGACCAAAGAGGGGGACCUUCGGGCCUCUUGCCAUCAGAUGUGCCCAGAUGGGAUUAGCUAGUAGGUGGGGUAACGGCUCACCUAGGCGACGAUCCCUAGCUGGUCUGAGAGGAUGACCAGCCACACUGGAACUGAGACACGGUCCAGACUCCUACGGGAGGCAGCAGUGGGGAAUAUUGCACAAUGGGCGCAAGCCUGAUGCAGCCAUGCCGCGUGUAUGAAGAAGGCCUUCGGGUUGUAAAGUACUUUCAGCGGG
rnacentral:rRNA from 1 species